GAUUCUGGCUCAGAACGAACGCUGGCGGCAGGCCUAACACAUGCAAGUCGAGCGCGCCCUUCGGGGUGAGCGGCGGACGGGUUAGUAACGCGUGGGAACGACCCUUUGGUAGGGAAUAGCCACUGGAAACGGUGAGUAAUACCCUAUGAGCCCUUCGGGGGAAAGAUUUUAUCGCCAAAAGGAUCGGCCCGCGUUAGAUUAGGUAGUUGGUGGGGUAAUGGCCUACCAAGCCUACGAUCUAUAGCUGGUUUUUAGAGGAUGGAUCAGCAACACUGGGACUGAGACACGGCCCAGACUCCUACGGGAGGCAGCAGUGGGGAAUCUUGGACAAGUGGGGGCAACCCUGAACUCCAGCCAUGCCGCGUGAGUGAAGAAGGCCUUAGGGUCGUAAAGCUCUUUCGCCUGUGAAGAUAAUGACGGUAGCAGGUAAAGAAACCCCGGCUAACUCCGUGCCAGCCGCUGC
rnacentral:rRNA from 1 species